AACGCACAUUGCGCCCGCCAGCACUCUGGCGGGCAUGCCUGUCCGAGCGUCACCUCAACCUUCAGGCUCCAAUCCCCCCGUUCGCGGGGCGGCUGCGGGGCCUGGCGUUGGAGGACGGCCCCCGAACUCUCGGGCCGGCCGCCUCCGGAACACAGUGGCGGCCCGACCGUAGCUCCCUUGCGCAGUAGCAUAAGCUCGCACGCGGAAGCGGCGGACCAGCCAGAACAACCACUUCUGACAAGGUUGACCUCGGAUCAGGUAGGGAUACCCGCUGAACUUAA
rnacentral:misc_RNA from 1 species